GGACGACACCAAAAAGCAGGUCCACCCUAAAAAGGUGAAAAUUUGCAGUAUUGAAGACAUUCAAAGAAGCUGCUGAAGACACUGAGAGCAAUUCCAGUUAUUAGCAGAUGUGUGGUCCUGUCAGUGUAAAUCAACUCCACCAAAACACCUUCAUCUUGGACUUCUUGACAAAAGAUUGCCUUCAAUAAAGAAAGAGGAAAUAAGGAGGGAGAAGAAAAUCAAUCCCUCCUCUUUUCAUUGAAUGAUGUUUGCCUGAUCCUUUCCAGGAACACUCAAGAAGCAAGGAACCAGAUUUUCCUCAGUUAACUUUGAACCUGGAAUUUGUGUUACUGCUUUGGUUAUAUUCCUAAUAAGCCACUAGUGUACUCUACAGGAACAAGUGGAAAUGAAGACAGAGGUACGAUGACCAUUAAUUGUCCAUAAUCUAUUUAUCCUGAGGAGCACUUAUACACCUGUUACAUAUUUAGGUAUUUGCUACUUGUAGUUUUUUCAUGAUUUUUGAGCAGAGAAGCAUCUAUACCUAAAGCACCAUAAAAAAGGAAAAAUGCUACCAAGGGGCCUUAAAGUAGCAAGACAAAGAAACUACAGCUUUUUGUGUCUGGGAAAUGAAUGGCUCCAUUCAUUUCAAUAGGGAUUUUGUUUUAUACGUACUGUAUUAAGUUUGGGCACUAAACACCUGACUCCCAUUUCAGAAUGUAUUACUUUGUUAAAUGCAGGUAUGUAAACAGGAUAAAGUACGUUAACUACUAAAUUCUUCAGUAAGUACCUUUGUCUUGUUUUAUUGAAUAUUUUAUAGUGUUAUCCUCAGUUCUUUAAUAUUUGUAUAUGUAUAUAUGUAUGCAUUAUACAUAUAUGUGGGCUUAUAUAUGCCAUUUAUAUAUAAAUAUGCAUAUGUUAAAUUUAUAUAUUAAAAUAGCUCAUAA